rnacentral:lncRNA from 1 species
UGCUUUCCCUGGUGCCACCAGCUUCCCUCAGGUCAUCACCACCGCAGCUUCUUUCAACCAGUCUCUAUGGGAAGAGAUCGGACGGGUGAGAAUAAAGGAAUAAUUUUUCGUACAAAAAAGAAAAUAAUGAAGGAAUAUUUUGCUGAUUAAAGAAUACGCAUUUUUGGAAAAUAAGAAUUCUAAAUUUUGUGAUUUCCUUACGUGAAUAAACGACAUCAACAUCAUAGCGGUCAGUACACGAGAGUUUGAUUAGCGCGGGAUGCUCUAUGUUUUAUUAGGUUUAUUUCUUUGAAAUUUAUACUUUCACAUGUUAUUUUUAUUUGACUGUCAUGAGUCUAUCGAAUAAGUCAGACAGGUAGGUUAGAAAUUUAGAAUACAAAAUUCUAAACCAACAAAUAUAUUUCAAGUACUAAACGGGAAAUUUUAUUUCGUUAAAGAUUAUAUAUAUUACGUAGUAUUCUUUAAACGAAAUAUGUUACGUAGUAUAUAUAUAUAUGUUAACUAUCUGCGAUAUUAAUAAUUAUGUGCAAGCUAGCUAUAACCAGCGAAGGAAAAAUAUACUUUUGUUAACUUAUGGUGUCUAUAUACGGAGAAAUAUAAUUUCUUUCAAUAUAAAUUAAAGGUGUGUUGUGGAGAAAUAUAUUAACUAAACUUGGCAUGAUUUAAAUCAAUUAAAAGGUGGUGUCUGAUGAGGCAAGAGCUAUGUACAAUGGAGGCGUGGCCGGUUUGACGUAUUGGAGCCCAAAUGUGAAUAUACUGAGGGAUCCACGGUGGGGUCGAGGCCAGGAAACUCCCGGAGAGGAUCCUGUCGUGGCCGGAAAAUACGCAGCCAGCUACGUCAGGGGACUUCAGGGUAACGGCGCCGGUAACCGCCUCAAAGUCGCCGCAUGUUGCAAACAUUACACAGCUUAUGACCUUGAUAAUUGGAAUGGCGUCGACCGUUUCCAUUUCAACGCCAAGGUAAACUUUACACAUCUAAUCUUUUCUAACGACACAUCUAAUGAUUGAAUCUCUACUUUUCUUACAACUUAAUGGUUUGUUACUUACUAAAACUUCAGUAUUUUCUUUAAAAAAAUAUAAACCAAAUAAUGAAUGAGCAAAAAAAAUAUUGAAUUUUCUGCUGAAACAUAUAAGUUUACUUUCUAAAAACAAAGUGGCUACUUUAUAUCGUUUUCAAUUGCCUAUGGCUCCACGUAACGAAUUGAAUGUGACUGGAUACGCUUUCUUGCAAGGCUUAUCAUCUUUUAUCUUGUUUCGUGAUCAGUUUCGUUAGACCUCAGAAAAUAGCUUAUAUCUAGAUAUAUUGCAAUCGUUAGUCGUUAGUUAUUUAUAGUUCCGUGGAAUAUGCGUCACUUCGUAAUCUUCCAAAAGACUUUUUCAUCCGCCUGAACUGAAUUUUAUCAUCAAAUGGGUAAACAUGCGUGUCACUGUCGGACACAAACAAAGCACUUCCCUAACAUUAUAUACCAGCUAAGCCAAUAGGCAGUGUGACUUCGAGUGAUGUGGCAUAUGCGUAGUCUUGUGUUUAUAGUGGUGGAGAAUCUUAUCCUUAUUGGUCAUGUGGACCAACUAGGACCAGCC